ACAGGGCGUGGGAAGGGCCAGGAGGGGGAGGGAGGAGCAAGUGUCCCCCAUGGAGAGGGCCCAGCCCCAGGUUUCCUAGUCCAGUUACUCCUCCCUCCUCAGCACUUGCUAGUCAUAUUCCCAGACCCCACUGCCAGCCCCUCCCCACAGCCAGCAACCUUCUGACUCCAGCCCCGCUCCUUUCCCCUGUGAAAAGACAUCACCCAGGGCUCCUUCCUGGCCCUGUGAGUGUGAGGCAAGAAGAAUCCGUCCCAUCCUGUUGUUGAUUCAAUAUCCCUGUAUAAUCCCCUCCAAUUUCCCCUCUUUUCUCUUGAACUGUUGAAUGGUGACAUAAAAUCUCCCCACAUGUUGAUGCUUGUCCCUUAUAUUGGCAAAUGUUUAGUUUGUGCCCCAUUUUCUCCUCAGUUCUGAAAUUCUGAUAUCAAAUUCUCAAAAAUCUUCCCAUUUUUCUCUCCAGGUGUGUGACUGAGAUCAGGGCUCUUAUCGUACUGCCCGUGGCCCUGUUCUGCCAGGCACUGAAGAGACCCCAACUGAGAUCUGGGCCUUGUUCUGCCAGGCACUGAAGAGACCAGAGGCUACAGAAUAACGUCCACGUUUUGCUCCAGAUCAUCCCAUCCUCCCAGGGGCAAGGGAACGGCUGCAAUGGAGCUGGCUCAGGGGCCGGUGACUUUCGAGGAGGUGGCUGUGUAUUUCACUAGGGAGGAAUGGGAUCUUCUGGACCCUGUUCAGAGAGCCCUCUACAGGGACGUCAUGCAGGAGAACUAUGAGACGGUGACCUCACUGGGUAAGGAGUCCUGUCC